rnacentral:rRNA from 1 species
GCAAGUCGCGCGGUAGAUUGCUUAACGAAGCUUUGGUGGAAUUAAUUGAUUGAGAGCGGCGAACGGGUGAGUAACACGUUGGUAUCUGCCCCCAAGUCAGGGAUAGCCAUUGGAAACGAUGAUUAAUACCGGAUAGUCUCUUCGGAGUAAAAAUUUAUUGCUUGGGGAGGAACCUGCGGUCUAUCAGCUAGUUGGUGAGGUAAUAGCUCACCAAGGCUAUGACGGAUACCUGGUCUGAGAGGAUGAUC